rnacentral:rRNA from 1 species
AGAGUUUGAUCAUGGCUCAGAAUCAACGCUGGCGGCGCGCCUAACACAUGCAAGUCGCACGAGAAAGCGGGAGCAAUCUCGCAAGUACAGUGGCGUACGGGUGAGUAACACGUGGAUCAUCUGCCCUGGAGUGGGGAAUAACGCUGGGAAACCGGCGCUAAUACCGCAUAUUCCCGAGAGGGGAAAGCAGCAAUGCGCUCGAGGAGGAGUCCGCGGCCGAUUAGCUAGUUGGCAGGGUAAAAGCCUACCAAGGCUAUGAUCGGUAGCCGGCCUGAGAGGGCACACGGCCACACUGGCACUGAAACACGGGCCAGACUCCUACGGGAGGCAGCGGUGGGGAAUCUUGCACAAUGGGGGAAACCCUGAUGCAGCGACGCCGCGUGAGCGAUGAAGCCCUUCGGGGUGUAAAGCUCUUUCGGCAGGGAAGAUUAUGACGGUACCUGCAGAAGCAGCUGCGGCUAACUACGUGCCAGCAGCCGCGGUAAUACGUAGGCAGCAAGCGUUGUUCGGAGUUACUGGGCGUAAAGGGUGUGUAGGCGGCCUGUUAAGUUCCGUGUGAAAUCUCCCGGCUCAACCGGGAGGGUGCGCGGAAUACUGACGGGCUAGAGUGCGGGAUGGGAGAGUAGAAUUCCUGGUGUAGCGGUGAAAUGCGUAGAUUCAGGAGGAAUACCGGUGGUGUAGACGGCUCUCUGGACCGCAACUGACGCUGAGACACGAAAGCGUGGGUAGCAAACAGGAUUAGAUACCCUAGUAGUCC